rnacentral:rRNA from 1 species
AUUGAACGCUGGCGGCAGGCCUAACACAUGCAAGUCGAGCGAGCGGCGGACGGGUGAGUAAUGUAUGGGAAUCUGCCCGAUAGCGGGGGAUAACUACUGGAAACGGUGGCUAAUCCCGCCUACUAUAGGAUGAACCACUAUUGGAUUGGCUAGUAGGUGGUGUAAAGGCUCACCAAGGCGACGAUCUCUAGCUGGUCUGAGAGGAUGAUCCGCCACACUGGAACUGAGACACGGCCCAGACUCCUACGGGAGGCAGCAGUGGGGAAUAUUGGACAAUGGGUGGAAACCUGAUGCAGCCAUGCCGCGUGUAGGAUGAAGGCCUUCGGGUUGUAAAGUACUUUCAGCGGGGAGGCGUUACCCGCAGAAGAAGCACCGGCUAACUCCGUGCCAGCAGCCGCGGUAAUAC